UACAGAGGGUGCAAGCGUUAAUCGGAUUUACUGGGCGUAAAGGGUGCGUAGGUGGUUGCGUAAGUGAGAUGUGAAAUCCCCGGGCUUAACCUGGGAACUGCGUCUUAUACUGCGUAGCUGGAGUACAUGAGAGGGUAGUGGAAUUUCCGGUGUAGCGGUGAAAUGCGUAGAUAUCGGAAGGAACACCAGUGGCGAAGGCGGCUACCUGGCAUGAUACUGACACUGAGGCACGAAAGCGUGGGUAGCAAACAGGAUUAGAAACCCCGGUAGU
rnacentral:rRNA from 1 species